rnacentral:rRNA from 1 species
GAUGAACGCUAGCUACAGGCUUAACACAUGCAAGUCGCGGGGCAGCAUGGGGGUUGCUUGCAAUCCCCGAUGGCGACCGGCGCACGGGUGAGUAACGCGUAUCCAACCUGCCCUUCACCACGGGAUAACCCGGCGAAAGUCGGACUAAUACCGUAUGUUGUCCAUUGACGGCAUCCGAUUUGGACGAAAGGCUUGGCGGUGAAGGAUGGGGAUGCGUCCGAUUAGCUGGACGGCGGGGUGACGGCCCACCGUGGCGACGAUCGGUAGGGGUUCUGAGAGGAAGGUCCCCCACACUGGAACUGAGACACGGUCCAGACUCCUACGGGAGGCAGCAGUGAGGAAUAUUGGUCAAUGGGCGUAAGCCUGAACCAGCCAAGUAGCGUGCAGGAUGACGGCCCUAUGGGUUGUAAACUGCUUUUAUGCGGGGAUAAAGUGGCCCACGUGUGGGUUUUUGCAGGUACCGCAUGAAUAAGGACCGGCUAAUUCCGUG